rnacentral:rRNA from 1 species
UACGUAGGUGGCAAGCGUUGUCCGGAAUUAUUGGGCGUAAAGCGCGCGCAGGCGGUCCUUUAAGUCUGAUGUGAAAGCCCACGGCUCAACCGUGGAGGGUCAUUGGAAACUGGAGGACUUGAGUACAGAAGAGGAAAGCGGAAUUCCACGUGUAGCGGUGAAAUGCGUAGAGAUGUGGAGGAACACCAGUGGCGAAGGCGGCUUCUGGUCUGUAACUGACGCGAGGCGCGAAAGCGUGGGGAGCAAACAGG